rnacentral:rRNA from 1 species
CGGGGGGAGCAAGCGUUGUUCGGAUUUACUGGGCGUAAAGGGCGCGUAGGCGGCCUCUGCAAGUCGACUGUGAAAUCUCCGGGCUUAACCCGGAACGGUCAGCCGAUACUGCAGGGCUAGAGUGCAGAAGGGGCAACUGGAAUUCUCGGUGUAGCGGUGAAAUGCGUAGAUAUCGAGAGGAACACCUGCGGCGAAGGCGGGUUGCUGGGCUGACACUGACGCUGAAGCGCGAAAGCUAGGGGAGCGAACGGGAUUAGAUACCCCGGUAGUCCUAGCCUUAAACGAUGAAUGCUUGGUGUCUGGGGUUUUAUAGUCCCCGGGUGCCGUCGCUAACGCUUUAAGCAUUCCGCCUGGGGAGUACGGUCGCAAGACUG